UACGUAGGGGGCAAGCGUUGUCCGGAAUCAUUGGGCGUAAAGCGCGUGUAGGCGGCUCGGUAAGUCUGCUGUGAAAGUCCAGGGCUCAACCCUGGGAUGCCGGUGGAUACUGUCGAGCUCGAGUCCGGAAGAGGCGAGUGGAAUUCCUGGUGUAGCGGUGAAAUGCGCAGAUAUCAAGGAGGAACACCAAUGGCGAAGGCAGCUCGCUGGGACGUGACUGACGCUGAGACGCGAAAGCGUGGGGAGCAAACAGG
rnacentral:rRNA from 1 species